GCCCACAAACCUCCUUCCACCCUCGGUCAGGACGUGAAGAAGGCCGCCAUCAUUAUUUACUUCCUCAACACCUGAUCCCUCUGUCUGAGACACGUGGAUGAGAUUCCUGAGAAGGAAGCUGGACGGUUGUUUCUUGGUUUGGAGCAGAGGAGGAAGUGUUACAUGUGGUGUUGAGAUGCUGGCACUGGAUCUCACCCUUCCUCUGUAUGACUGUCCUUCAUGUGAUAGGACCACACUUGUCACCGUCAUAUCUACAUCCCAGGGCCAGUCUCCACCUCAUCCAGAGGCGGUUAAUAAAUGCUCCUUCAAUGGAUAUCAAACAA